AACGAACGCUGGCGGCAGGCUUAACACAUGCAAGUCGAACGCCCCGCAAGGGGAGUGGCAGACGGGUGAGUAACACGUGGGAACAUACCCUUUGGUUCGGAAAAACUUCGGGAAACUGAGGCUAAUACCGGAUACGCCCCUGGACUUGUUCUGGGGGGAAAGAUUGAUCGCCGAAGGAUUGGCCCGCGUUCGAUUAGCUAGUUGGUACGGUAAUGGCGUACCAAGGCGACGAUCGAUAGCUGGUCUGAGAGGAUGGCCAGCCACAUUGGGACUGAGACACGGCCCAAACUCCUACGGGAGGCAGCAGUGGGGAAUAUUGGACAAUGGGCGCAAGCCUGAUCCAGCCAUGCCGCGUGAGUGAUGACGGCCUUAGGGUUGUAAAGCUCUUUCGCACGCGACGAUAAUGACGGUAGCGUGAGAAGAAGCCCCGGCUAACUUCGUGC
rnacentral:rRNA from 1 species